GAUGAACGCUGGCGGCGUGCCUAAUACAUGCAAGUCGAGAGAAGCGGGGACGGGUGAGUAACACGUGGAUAACCUCCUAUAAGACUGGGAUAACUUCGGGAAACCGUAGCUAAACCGGAUACUUAUACAUGGAUCCUCGCUGCAUUAGAUAGUUGGUAAGCUAACGGCUUACCAAGGCAACGAUGCAUAGCCGCCAUGGGAGGGUGAUCGGCCACACUGGAACUGAGACCCGGUCCAGACCCCUACGGGAGGAAGCAGUAGGGAAUCGUCCGCAAUGGGCGAAAGCCGUACGGAGCAACGCCCCGUGGUGGAUGAUGGUCUUCGGAUCGUAAAACUCUGUUAUUAGGGAAGCGGUACCUAAUGAGAAAGCCACGGCUAACUACGUGCCAGCAGCCGCGGUAAUUG
rnacentral:rRNA from 1 species